rnacentral:lncRNA from 1 species
UGAUACGGGUAGUUUGUUGAUACACUCUCUGCUUUCAAGGCGUGAAGACUUUGAAGAUCCUCCGACAUUGAAGACUUGAAAGGACAUCAGAGUUUUGCCUUUAUGGCUAAUGUCGACAGUUCUUCAAGUCAGUUUGUUGGUGCACUUGUGUCUGUACUUUGUCUGUAUUCGGUCUGAUAUAAACGAUGUCCUGAUUUGUAUUGUAAGUUGACCAAGUCAACCAUCCUCCGGUUUGACUUGGACAACAUUUGAAAGAUGUUCAGAUCGAAGGAUAGCCUCGAAGGAUACACCUGAUCCUUCGAGGUGAUCGAAAGAUAUGGUUCGACCAUGGUUCGACCAUUAGACCUCGAAGGAUGAUCCUUCGAGGUCCAUGCUGAUCUUUCGUAUGAACUGUGAUCGAUAGAUGAUCCUUCGGACCAUCUAUCAGAUCCUUCGAUCCAGACCUGCUGAGCUGGGUAUAUAUACCCAU